UACAGAGGUCUCAAGCGUUGUUCGGAUUCAUUGGGCGUAAAGGGUGCGUAGGUGGCGGGGCAAGUCUGGUGUGAAAUCCCGGGGCUCAACCCCGGAACUGCACUGGAUACUGCUUUGCUAGAGUACUGGAGAGGGAACUGGAAUUUACGGUGUAGCAGUGAAAUGCGUAGAUAUCGUAAGGAACAUCAGUGGCGAAAGCGACUUCCUGGACCAAUACUGACGCUCAUGUGCGAAAGCGUGGGGAGCAAACAGG
rnacentral:rRNA from 1 species